GUGCCAGCAGCCGCGGUAAUACGGAGGGUGCAAGCGUUAAUCGGAAUUACUGGGCGUAAAGCGCACGCAGGCGGUUUGUUAAGUCAGAUGUGAAAUCCCCGGGCUCAACCUGGGAACUGCAUCUGAUACUGGCAAGCUUGAGUCUCGUAGAGGGGGGUAGAAUUCCAGGUGUAGCGGUGAAAUGCGUAGAGAUCUGGAGGAAUACCGGUGGCGAAGGCGGCCCCCUGGACGAAGACUGACGCUCAGGUGCGAAAGCGUGGGGAGCAAACAGGAUUAGAUACCCUCGUAGUCCC
rnacentral:rRNA from 1 species